AAAACUCUGGAAUUCAAGUUGGAGGAUCAUAGGAACUGGGUCUAAAAUAAUAUUGUCUUAGAGGUCAUUCAUCUGGUCAACUGAUCCUUAUAGAUACAGUAGAAAGAGCGUUGGCUCAACAGUCAAAAGACCUGAAUUCAAGUCCCACCUUGGAUACUGCUUUGUAAUAUUGGUCACUUAAUUUCUCUUAAGCCUCAGCUAAUGAAGGAUUAAUGAAGAAUUGGACAAGAUGUCCCCUUCAGAUUCUAGAUCUAUAAUCCUGAAAUCCUUGCUCAAGAUAUUGGAGUUUAGAGCAGCUAAAACCUCUGAAUAAUGAUUAAUCAGCUAAUCAAAAUGUCCAAGGACAACAGAUGAUCAUGAGUCCCACAGUCCAAGUACAUUGCAAGGUAUGAGCUCAUCCUGAAAGGCUGUCUUUCCUAUUCCAUCUUUUUUCUAUACUAUCCAGGACACCUUCUCUCCACUAAGAGGUGGGGAAGAGGACUGAUCACAUGAUGGAUAUCCCCACCGAAAGUCUCACCUUCCUUAUAGCAAACGGAGGAUUAGACUGAACAAGAUAAAAUAGGGUCCUAUUUCUGACUGGGGAAGGAUAAUGUGGACCUGGAGCCAAUCCCCUUGGAACUGAGUGGGAUCAGGUUGGACAGUGGCACCUGUUCUUGUGAAAAGAUGAGGUCACCAAGAGCUGAUUCAAUCUCUCGGCUACUAAAAAGGAGAGACAAGCCCAUCAGGCCAGGGAACUGAGGCCCAGUGACCUUAACUGACUUUCCCAUUGUCACCAUGGAACUGAAUGGAAGAACCAGAAACUGAAUGAAGAUCCUCCCAGCUCCAAAUCCAGCACAUGCUCACGCGAGAUGCUCUCGUUUGCCAGCACUGUGGGCCAUCAAGAGUUUAUCUCUGGUGAUGGACUGCCUAUAAUCUAAAUCAUUCCCUGAAUCUCUUAUUUUCUUAACAACUUUGUGAGGUGAUACAUUCAAAUAUUAUCACCCCUAGUUUACAGGAGAAAAAACUGAGAUCUAAAGAGAUUUAAGUAAUUUGGCGGCAUAAACCUAGGCAUCACCUUAUUCCAAAUCCAAUGUUCCUCCCACUAGACCCCAUACCCCCUCAGUUCAUCAGUACUGGUACCAGAUCAAAAACGAUCCAUCAAAAGUUUAUUUAAGAGACACAAAAGGGAUUUCGACUUCCAAGAGCAUUCUCUGUUGUUUAGUCAAUUUUUUUUUUCAGUUAUGUCCGACUAUUAAAUCUUCACUUGGGGUUUUCUCAGA